ensembl:antisense
AAGGAAAAUGUACCCCCAAAGACUGUGGCUGUCCUGAGGCCAGAGCUGAAGAGACCCUGGAGAAACCUGGACAUCAGCUUGGGUAGCAGAGGAGACCAGAAGAUGCCCAUGUGCCAGGUCACCACACACGCCCAAGGCCCAGUGCUAUGCCAGAAGCCCUGCCAAGUCCAAAGUAACUUGACCUGUCCAUGUCCCCACCUGGCCCUUGCCCUGAAGGACACAGCUGGCCGACUAGGUGACACAGGGCUGCAGCAGCAGAGUAACCUACACCUGCCAGUAGGGAGGUCCCAGGGGAGGAUCCGAGAGCCAUUUGUACAGCAGAGUAACCUGUGCUUCCGAGGAACCGCUAGCCCCCAUCUGCAGAACAGCUGCCUGCCACCAACUGGCCCAUCCUCCCACCAGAAGCAGACAUUUCAGGUCACAGGCUGCUUAGACUUGAGACUCUCUGCGGACUUGGCACCUCUUGAUGGGUGCACAUGGCCUGGCCCCAGGCCCUGGUGUCGUUCAGGGAGCUGGGCACCCAGGCUUGUGGGGGAGCCUCUCACCUUGGAGGACCUGUCUGUCUCUGACCACAGUCAGUCUCAGGCCUCAUCCCCUUUCUCCUGUAGUACUGCCCACUGGCUGCUGGACUCCACCCAACAC